UCAUUAGUCACUACCAGUAUUACAGCUUUUACUUAUCAUUAGUUAUUCACUGUAUGGAUGUGAGAGUUGGACUAUAAAGAAAGCUGAGUGCUGAAGAACUGAUACUUUUGAGGUGUGGUGUUGGAGAAGACUAUUGAGAGUCCCUUGGACUGCAAGGAGAUCCAACCAGUCCAUCCUAAAGGAGAUCAGUCCUGGGUGUUCAUUGGAGGGACUGAUUUUGAAGCUGAAACUCCAAUACUUUGGCCACCUGAUGUGAAGAGCUGACUCAUUUGAAAAGACCCUGAUGCUGGCAAAGAUUGAGGGCGGGAGAAGAAGGGGACGACAGAAGAUGAGAUGGUUGGAUGGCAUCACCGGCUCAAUGGACAUGAGUUUGGUAACUCAAACUGGAAACCACCAACUGUCCAUCAACAGAUCCAUCAUCAUCAUCAUUAACAUAAUUAACAUCAUCAUCAUUAACAUCAACAUCACCACUUCCACCAGCAUCACCACAAACACCCACAACCAUCUUGGUCAUUACCACCGACACCAUCAUCAGUCACUACCAUUAUUACAGCUUUUACUCAUCAUUAGUUAUUCACUGUAUGGAUGUGAGAGUUGGACUGUAAAGAAAGCUGAGUGCUGAAGAAUUGAUACUUUUGAGGUGUGGUGUUGGAGAAGACUCUUGAGAGUCCCUUGGACUGCAAGGAGAUCCAACCAGUCCAUCCUAAAGGAGAUCAGUCCUGG
ensembl:lncRNA